GGCACUUUGGCGGAGUGGUUAACGCGAUGCCCUGCUAUGUUCAAGAUAGUGUAGGCAUUCCCUUCGGGGGCGUGUGUUCGAAUCACACAGGUGUCG